GAUGAACGCUGGCGGCGUGCCUAAUACAUGCAAGUCGAGCGAACAGACGAGGAGCUUGCUCCUCUGACGUUAGCGGCGGACGGGUGAGUAACACGUGGAUAACCUACCUAUAAGACUGGGAUAACUUCGGGAAACCGGAGCUAAUACCGGAUAAUAUAUUGAACCGCAUGGUUCAAUAGUGAAAGACGGUUUUGCUGUCACUUAUAGAUGGAUCCGCGCCGCAUUAGCUAGUUGGUAAGGUAACGGCUUACCAAGGCAACGAUGCGUAGCCGACCUGAGAGGGGGAGUGGGCCAACGGCAACGUAGACCCGGGCGAGAAUCUGACGGGAGGCGGCAGUAGGGAAGUGUCGGGAAUGGGCCGAAGUCUGAAGGAGCAAAGAAGGGGGAGGGAUGAAGGUCUUAGUAUCGUAAAAGUUUGUGACUAUGGAAGAAAAAAAGCGUAAGGAACAAUGCACGUCUGGAGGGCAACUAAUCAGAAGGCGACGGCGAACGACGGG
rnacentral:rRNA from 1 species